rnacentral:tRNA from 1 species
GCCGCGGUCGCAUAAUCCGGAAGUGCGGGAGACUGAGAACCUCCGCCAGAAAUGGCAUCUGGGUUCAAAUCCCAGCCGCGGCG